rnacentral:rRNA from 1 species
AUGAAGUUGGAAUCGCUAGUAAUCGCGAAUCAGAAUGUCGCGGUGAAUACGUUCCCGGGUCUUGUACACACCGCCCGUCACACCAUGGGAGUCGGAAAUGCCCGAAGUCUGUGACCCAACCAUUAAGGAGGGAGCAGCCGAAGGCAGGUCGGAUGACUGGGGUGAAGUCGUAACAAGGUAAC